GUAAGAAAACCAUAUUUUUAUUAAUAAAACAAGUUUAAAAUUUUGUUUUUUACAGCUUACUGCCCCUGUUGUCCUUCAGUGAUACAAUAAAGACUGCUUCUUCCACCAUUCUCUGGGAAAAACCCUGUUUUGCUAUGCUUACUACCCCUGUUGUCCUUCAGCAACACAAUGAAGACUGCUUCUUCCUCCAUUCUCUGGAAAAAAGUCCCUUUUUUGCCAUACUUACUGCCCCUGUUUGUCCUUCAGCGACACAAUAAAGUAUAUAUAAUGUAAUGCUUUAGAAUCCAUAUGCUGAUGUGCGAG